rnacentral:misc_RNA from 1 species
GAUGAAGAACGUAGCGAAAUGCGAUAAGUAGUGUGAAUUGCAGAAUUCAGUGAAUCAUCGAAUCUUUGAACGCACAUUGCGCCCCUUGGUAUUCCAUGGGGCAUGCCUGUUCGAGCGUCAUUUGUACCUUCAAGCUUUGCUUGGUGUUGGGUGUUUGUCCAUUCUCUUGCAGAGGGACUCGCCUUAAAGUAAUUGGCAGCCAGUGUUUUGGUUUUGAAGCGCAGCACAAGUCGCGAUUCAACGCUAUACGCCAGCUUCCACAAGCCUUUUUCACUUUUGACCUCGGAUCAGGCAGGGAUACCCGCUGAACUUAAGCAUAUCAAUAAGCGGAGGA